GGCAUAGAUGGGCUGCAUGCAUGUAAUUUGGCAUAUUUUUCAUCUUGCUCUCCACCUGAAACUUCAAUCUAGGGACAUAAUAAUAUUUACAUUUAAGAUUUGUUGGAAAUGUUACCCUUACUUGUCCAUACCAGGUCCCCCACCCAUCCAGAAGAGUCCAAAACCACCAAAAACAUCCAUUUGGACCAAAAUAUUGACAUCUCUCAUCUAUUUUAGCACCCAAAUCAUCAAAACAUUCAUUAAAAUUCAUUUCUACUUGUCUCGCUUGCAGACGAAUCCAUGUGACCUUGACAUUGCAGUAAAUGUGCUUUUUAAAGGUUAUAUUACACUAAUUCCGAUUCCCAUAGGGUCCCAUUAUAAAACUGACAACUUUAACAGCAUUUUUCUUGCCUUUCCGACGUAUCAAUUUUUCCGAACCUGGUAUCAUUUUAAAGAUGGAUCUGUCAUCUUCCAAUAA